AUACAUGCAGUCGAGGGGCAGCACAGGUAGCAAUACUGGGUGGCGACCGGCAAACGGGUGCGGAACACGUACGCAACCUUCCCAUAACUGGUGAAUAGCCUUCCGAAAGGGAGAUUAAUACACCGUAACAUAACGAGAUGGCAUCAUCUUUUUAUUAUAGCUUCGGCGGUUUUGGAUGGGCGUGCGCCUGAUUAGGUAGUUGGCGGGGUAACGGCCCACCAAGCCUCCGAUCAGUAACUGGUGUGAGAGCACGACCAGUCACACGGGCACUGAGACACGGGCCCGACUCCUACGGGAGGCAGCAGUAAGGAAUAUUGGUCAAUGGACGCAAGUCUGAACCAGCCAUGCCGCGCGAAGGAUGAAGGCCCUCUGGGUUGUAAACUUCUUUUAUCUGGGACGAAAAACGGGCUUUCUAGCUCACUUGACGGUACCAGAGGAAUAAGCACCGGCUAACUCCGUGCCAGCAGCCGCGGUAAUACGGAGGGUGCAAGCGUUAUCCGGAUUUACUGGGUUUAAAGGGUGCGUAGGUGGGUAGGUAAGUCAGUGGUGAAAUCUUCAAGCUUAACUUGGAAACUGCCAUUGAUACUAUUUAUCUUGAAUUCUUUGGAGGUAAGCGGAAUAUGUCAUGUAGCGGUGAAAUGCUUAGAUAUGACAUAGAACACCAAUUGCGANGCAGCUUACUACACAGUUAUUGACACUGAGCACGAAAGCGUGGGGAUCAAACAGGAUUAGAUACCCUGGUAGUCCACGCCCUAAACGAUGGAUACUCGACAUAGCGAUACACUNNAGUGUCUGAGCGAA
rnacentral:rRNA from 1 species